rnacentral:rRNA from 1 species
UCCCUAGUACGGCGAGUGAGCGGGAAGAGCUCAAAUUUAAAAUCUGGCAGGCUACGCUUGUCCGAAUUGUAAUCUCGAGAAGUGUUUUCCGCGUUGGCCUGUGUACAAGUCCCUUGGAACAGGGCGUCAUAGAGGGUGAGAAUCCCGUCCUUGACACAGACACCCAAUGCUUUGUGAUACACUCUCAAUGAGUCGAGUUGUUUGGGAAUGCAGCUCAAAAUGGGUGGUAAAUUCCAUCUAAAGCUAAAUACUGGCGAGAGACCGAUAGCGAACAAGUACCGUGAGGGAAAGAUGAAAAGCACUUUGGAAAGAGAGUCAAACAGUACGUGAAAUUGUUGAAAGGGAAACGAUUGAAGUCAGUCGUGCCUGCCUAGAUUCAGCCUUCUGGUGUAUUUCUAGGUCGGCAGGUCAGCAUCAGUUUGGGGGGGUUAACAAGGGAGCUGGGAAUGUGGCAACCUCGGUUGUGUUAUAGCCCAGUUUCGCAUUGAUCUCGCUGGACUGAGGAACGCAGUGCGCCCGCAAGGGUUGGUCUUCGGACACAUUCGCACUUAGGAUGCUGGCAUAAUGGCUUUAAACGACCCGUCUUGAAACACGGACCA